UACGAAGGGGGCUAGCGUUGCCCGGAAUCACUGGGCGUAAAGCGCACGUAGGCGGCUUUCUAAGUCAGGGGUGAAAUCCUGGAGCUCAACUCCAGAACUGCCUUUGAUACUGGAGAGCUUGAGUCCGGAAGAGGUGAGUGGAACUCCGAGUGUAGAGGUGAAAUUCGUAGAUAUUCGCAAGAACACCAGUGGCGAAGGCGGCUCACUGGCCCGAUACUGACGCUGAGGCACGAAAGCGUGGGGAGCAAACAGG
rnacentral:rRNA from 1 species